rnacentral:rRNA from 1 species
AUACGUAGGGGGCGAGCGUUGUCCGGAAUGAUUGGGCGUAAAGGGCGCGUAGGCGGCCCGGUAAGUCUGGAGUGAAAGUCCUGCUUUUAAGGUGGGAAUUGCUUUGGAUACUGUCGGGCUUGAGUGCAGGAGAGGUAAGUGGAAUUCCCAGUGUAGAGGUGAAAUGCGUAGAGAUUGGGAGGAACACCAGUGGCGAAGGCGACCUACUGGACUGUAACUGACGCUGAGGCUCGAAAGUGUGGGGAGCAAACAGGAUUAGAUACCCCGGUAGUCCACACUGUAAACGAUGAUUGCUAGGUGUGGGGGGUCUGACCCCUUCCGUGCCGGAGUUAACGCAAUAAGCAAUCCACCUGGGGAGUACGGCCGCAAGGUUGAAACUCAAAUGAAUUGACGGGG